GCGCACGGCGGCGAGCCGUGUCCGUGGUGGGACUCAGCAUGGCGUGCUUGCACCUCGGGUGCCGUGGCGCCCGCUUCGGCGAGUCUUCUCGGCUGCGGUCAGGGAAGCGUCGGUAGUGGGACAGCUGCGGUGCCGCCUGCGCACUUUCCGCCCGGACUCGUCAGCGAGGAUCGCCUCGGGCCCAAAGAACGGUGGGGUAGGUGAUUCGACGGUGGCCUCGGCCCCGUCGAGAGCUUAUAGCCUGCCGUCGUGGCCGUGGCCGCGGCCCGAGCGUCGAUCGAGGCGUGUUGCGAGCGUUUUCGCCGGAGAGGCCGGGAGACACAGGGCGAGCGUUUGCUCGUUCGUCGACCCGGCUCCGACGCUGGCGUCGAGUCGCUGCCGUGCGA
rnacentral:rRNA from 1 species